rnacentral:rRNA from 1 species
UACGAAGGGGGCGAGCGUUGUUCGGAAUUACUGGGCGUAAAGGGCGCGUAGGCGGUCAGCACAAGUCAGUUGUGAAAUCUCCGGGCUUAACUCGGAAAGGUCAACUGAUACUGUGCGACUAGAGUGCAGAAGGGGCAACUGGAAUUCUCGGUGUAGCGGUGAAAUGCGUAGAUAUCGAGAGGAACACCUGCGGCGAAGGCGGGUUGCUGGGCUGACACUGACGCUGAGGCGCGAAAGCCAGGGGAGCGAACGGG